AGUGAACGCUGGCGGUAGGCCUAACACAUGCAAGUCGAACGGCAGCACAGUAAGAGCUUGCUCUUACGGGUGGCGAGUGGCGGACGGGUGAGGAAUACAUCGGAAUCUACUUUUUCGUGGGGGAUAACGUAGGGAAACUUACGCUAAUACCGCAUACGACCUACGUGUGAAAGCAGGGGAUCUUCGGACCUUGCGCGAUUGAAUGAGCCGAUGUCGGAUUAGCUAGUUGGCGGGGUAAAGGCCCACCAAGGCGGCGAUCCGUAGCCGGUCUGAGAGGCUGAUCGGCCACAUGGGAGCUGAGACAGCGUCCAUACGACUACGGUAGGCAGCAGUGGGGAAUAUUGGACAGUGGGCGGAAGCAUGACCCAGCCAUACCGCGUGGGUUGAGAAGGCCCUCGGGUUGUAAAGACGGUUUGUUGGGAAAGAAACGCAGCCGGCUAAUACGCCGCGGUUCUGACGGUACCUAAAGAAUAAGCACCGGCUAACUUCGUG
rnacentral:rRNA from 1 species